CCACCCUUUCUAUCGAGCAUGCAUAGGAUGUGCUAGUCUAUCUAGAACAUUAAUCUCCAACUCAAUGCUCCUACGAUCAGAAAUGUUUAAGAUUACAGUUUUAAGAUUUUAGGUCUCACUAGUAUGACCCAUUUAUGUCUCCUAAAAUCAUUACCCUAAUCUUUAGGGUUCAUCAUAAUCUUAGAUAUAAUAAGAUGUAGCUAAUAUGAUGAAUCAAUACCUCAAAUAAUAAAUAUCAUUUCAUGAGUUAAAAAAUUAUAAAAAAAAUUCAAUCACAAUACAC
rnacentral:lncRNA from 1 species